rnacentral:rRNA from 1 species
AGCAUGACAUAAUAUGGAUAUUUAGGUGUAAGUAAUCAAAGUGAUUGUUAAGGAUGCCUAGCAAACAUUUAUUUAAAGGAGGUGGAAACAUCUAAAGCUAUUAUCUUGUAAUAUAUAAUUGAUACGAUUUUAUUAUAUAUAAAUAUAGUAUGAGAAAGUUUUAUACUUGAUAGCGUUCCUAAGGAAAACCUUGUCUAUAUUAACGCAGUGAACUGAAACAUCUAAGUAACUGUAGGAAAGGAAAUCAACCGAGACUCCAUAAGUAGUGGCGAGCGAACAUGGAUUAGCCAAGAAGUAAUAUUAUUAUAGAAUAUUUUGGAAAAAAUAUCCCGUAGAAGGUGACAGUCCUGUAUAUGAUAAUAUGAUAUAAUAUAUCAACUAUAUUAAAUUAAAUAUUAUAUUUUAUUUCAAUAAUAAAUUAAGGUGGAAGAAAAUCUGCUGUAACGUUGGGGAACCAUCCUCAAAGGCUAAGUAAUAAAUGUUUAGCAAUAGUGAAAAGUAGCGUGAGCGAAAGGUGAAAAGUAAGUCGAUGACUGAUGAAAUAGAAUCUGAAUUAGCAAUCAUACAAGCAAUUAAAGCAAAUCUAUUUUUUUAAACGUAUUAAUAAGAUUGUAAUAAUGUACCUUUUGUAUAAUGGGUUAGCGAGUUAAUAAUAGUAGCAAGGUUAAUAACCCUAGCGAAAGCGACUAACAUAAAAUGUGUGGUAUUAGUUACUAUUUUUAGACCCGAAACGUGGUGAUCUAUCCAUGACCAGAUUAGUAAAUAGAUCGAAUGGUUCAAUGUUGCAGUAUUGUCCAAUGAGUUGUGGAUUGUCGGUGAAAGGCCAAUCUGACCACGAUAUAGCUGGUACUCCUCGAAACAUAUUUAGGUAUGACUCUUUGUAAUUUUAGAUUUAUGCGGGUACAGCACUGAUUACUAUACUAAGUUCUUUUUGAAUAAGGUUUAAUUGGGGGGUUGUGAAAGCCCUAUCAUUGGUAAUUAACCUCGGAAACAACAUAAUAUUGAUACGAAGAUUUCAGACUGCUCAUGAUAAGGUGGGUAGUCGAGACGGAAACAGCCGUGAACAUAGAAUAAGGUCCCAAAGUGAUGAUUAAGUGAAAUUAAGGAAGUGGUAUUUCUAAUACAACUAUAAAGUGAGCUCGGUAGUGGCUAUCUUUUAAUGAAAGUGUAACAACUUAGUAGUCUAAUGAAAUACCGCACCGAAGAUAUACGGGUCUUAGAUCAUCCACCGAAACUAUGUCAUUAAAUUAUUUAAAAAUAUUAUAAAAAAAAUAAUAUAAUAUAAAAUUCAAUAAAAAAGAUCAGAUAGAUCAAUAUUUUUAAAUAUUUUAAUUGAGUAGAGGAGCAUUCAGUAUGGUAGAAGAAUAGUGUUUCAUUAUUUGGACAUAACUGAAGAGAUUAUGCUAACAUGAGUAACGUAGAAAGAAGAUAUAAAUCUUCUCGCCGAAUACGAAAGGGUUUCAAAGAAAUGUUAAACAGCUUUGAUUGAAAUCGGUCUCUAAAAUAUGUCAGCUAAUGCUGAUAAUUGAUGAGUUAUUAGUUGAAAGUCUUUGACCUAGAAAUAAUAUUAAGAAAUUACCGUACCCUAAACCGACACAGGUUCGUAGGUACAGAAUACUAAGGCGUAGAGAUAAUACUGUUUAAGGAACUCGGCAAAAUACGCCAGUACACUUGAUAAUAAAGGCGACCUAAUAGUUAUAUUUAUAUAUAACUUAGGUGACACAUAAUCGUGAAGCACAACUGUUUAACAAAAACACAGGUAUCUGCUAUGUUUAAUAACAUUGUAUAGGUGCUGAAUCUUGUCCAAUGUCGAGAGUAUAAUAUUGAUAAAGAAGACAUUACAUUUUAUGUUGUUAAAAUUCAUAAGUUAUAGUGAUAAUCCUAGUAGAUAUUGAUAAAACCUCUGAUUAAUGACAGUCUUAACCAUAAGGAUUUUAAUAGUAGCGAAAUUCCUUGGCCGUUAAAUGCGGUCCUGCAUGAAUAGAGUAAUGAUGCUUCAGCUGUCUCAAACAGUAUCUCAGUGAAAUUGAAUUAGCCGUGAAGAUGCGGUUUAGGUGUGGGUAGACGGGAAGACCCUAUGCAGCUUAACUAUAACUAGUUAUCAUUUUUGUUCGAGAGAUCCAAGUAAAGGGUAGUCGUAAGACGUGAGUGUGAGACCCUUAUUGACUCAAUAUCGGUAGUAAUAUUGAUGUAAAGAGCAAAUUUUAGUCCUUAAUCGGAGAAAAUGACUAGCCGGUAGUUUAACUGGGACGGUUUCCUCCAAUAGAGUAUCGGAGGACUUCAAAGGUAUGCUUAAGUUAGAUGGAAACUAAUUUGUUAUGUAGAACGAAAACAAAUGUAAAGGUAUAAGCAUGCUUAACUGCUAGACCGAUAGGUCAAGCAGAUACGUAAGUAGGACUUAGUGAUCCGGUGGUCCUUCAUGGAAAGGCCAUCGCUAAAGAAAUAAAAGUUACGCUAGGGAUAACAGGGUAAUAGCUCUCGAGAGUUCAUAUUGUCAGAGCUGUUUGCCACCUCGAUGUCGACUCACCUUAUCCUCUUGGCGCACAAUCUAAGAAGGGUUCUGCUGUUCGCAGAUUAAAAAGGUACGCGAGUUGGGUUCAAUACGACGUGAGUCAGUAUGGUUCCUAUCUUCCACACCAAUGAACAAUUAAGUUUAGAUGGAUUCUUAGUACGAAAGGACCGGGAUCUGCGUUUCUCUGGUGUACCAAUUGUUGAUUUAAAAAUCGGCACCGUUGGGUAGCUACAAACGUUAAGGAUAAAAGCUGAAAGCAUAUAAGCUAUUGAAGCCUACUAAAGGAAAUUGUAAUGCGUUUUAACGCAAGGUAAGAGAUAGACUAUCUCUUAAUUGGUCACAUGUGUAAACAUCGUAAGAUGUGUUAGCUUAGUGAUACUAAAUAACUUAUUUACUUACAC